rnacentral:ncRNA from 13 species
GCCGUGAUAGUAUAGUGGUAGUACAUCAGAUUGUGGCUCUGUUGACCCUUGGUUCGAUUCCAGGUCGCGGCA